rnacentral:lncRNA from 1 species
AGAAGCUCUGCGACUCUCGCCCGUCCCAGAAACGGCUGGCACUCUGUAUUCCACACGGUCACCCGUGCAGCCUGCCCUCCGCGGAGUCCCGGAGCCAAGAAGGCUCCCGCCGGCGCCUGUGCCACAAACCUCUCAGGCCUGGCAGACCCCCGUGCUCUCACCAGGAAGGUGGCCGGCUAUCUGGAGCUGAAGAUGGCGCCGCCCAGAAGCUCUGCGACUCUCGCCCGUCCCAGAAAUGGCUGGCACUCUGUAUUCCACACGGUCACCCGUGCAGCCUGCCCUCCGCGGAGUCCCGGAGCCAAGAAGGCUCCCGCCGGCGCCUGUGCCACAAACCUCUCAGGCCAGGCAGACCCCCGUGCUCUCACCAGGAAGGUGGCCGGCUGUCUGGAGCUGAAGAUGGCGCCGCCCAGAAGCUAGGGAUGGUUUCUUACCCAUUAUUCUCCAUUAAGAUCCUGGCCUAGGCUACCAGGAACAUGUAAAUAAGAAAAGGAGUAUGAGAAAACAAAACAGAUAGAUUGCCAUGAGAACUACAGCUCAAUAUUUUUUUCCUCUGGCAAAGAGUUCCACAACCAGUUCCAGGAGGCCUCCCCCUUUUGAGGUCAGUCGCUUCAGUCUGUGGAACUUGUCACAUAGAUCCUACUGGAGGUGGUGUGGCACAAAACACCAUCCUUUUUAUAUUGGACAUUUAGAGCUCAUUCUGAUCUUCCCGGACCUUUGGCUGCAGGCAAUGAUUGUAUUGACAGAGAGAGCUUCAAUAGGAGAAGCUUUAGUUUCAGAUCCUAUUGUUUUGGCUAAAUGUGAUCAUAAUAAAUUUCAUCUUUCUAGUCCUACCUUAAGGCUCUGACAUAAGAUCGCUAAGGAGCAAGCUAGAAUGAUUAUAAAACUAUGUCCUGACUAUCUUCCAUUGUCUCAAGUUUCUCAUUUAGGGGUUAAUCCACAAGGCCUUAUGCCCAAUCAUAUUUGGCAACUGGAUGUAACUCGUUAUUCAGAAUUUGGAAAAUUGAAAUAUAUACAUGUCUGUAUUGACACUUGUUCAGGAUUCAUUUUUGCUUCUCUACACACAGGAAAAGCUUCUAGAAAUGUAAUUGAUAUUGCUUACAGGCUUUUACUGCUAUGAGGUUGCCUAAAAUCAUCAAGACAGAUAAUGGCCCUGCUUAUACUGGAAACAACUUUAUACAAUUUUGUAAGGAAUUUGGAAUUAAACAUAAAACUGGAAUUCCUUAUAACCUAUGGGACAAGGAAUUGUUGAACGUGCGCGUUGUACUCUGAAAAAUUGGCUUUGGAAAAAAAAGGGGAAUCAUAUCCCUGUACACCACAAAAAUAUUAAAAUUUCUAUACCAAGGAACUCUCUGAGUGUGGGGAAGAAGGCAUGUUUGUGUUUUUUCUGCAGGAUGCUGAAGGAGCAUUCUAGUUGCCAGAGUGGUUAGUGAGACAUGCUGAUGCUGGGACAAAGAAUGAUACUGAUUGUGAGUUUGUAGAGUGUCCUGACAAUGAUGAUAGAGAAGCUGUAUUGGGCCUAUGUCCCUGAUCCAUCCUUUUUUACAUCCAACAGUAUGAGAAGGCCUAGACGUUGUGGUAAUGGUAAUCAACAGUAAGUCGAUGGAUAUGCCUGCUGGAGGAAAUUUCACUAACAAUAGAGAAAUUAAUUACCUGAGAUUUAGAACUAAUGUCUCCAUAUGCUUUUGUGGGAGGUGCAGCUACAAGCACUUCUGCCCUAGUUUUGCCAGGAAAAAAAUUAUGAGCUUCUUAGAGCAGUAAUAGAUACAGAUAAAGAAAAAUAGAAACUUCUAUUUCUUAUUUGCAAGAGCCUCUAACUUCCUUGUCUGAGGUAGUUUUUCAGAACAGGAGGGAACUUGAUCUUUUAUUCCUUCAACAGGGAGGACUCUGUGCAGCCCUCCAGGAAGACUGUUGUUACAUCAAUCAUUCAAAAGUAGUAAAGGAUUCUAUGGCUAAAUUUUGAGAAGGACUGGCAAAAAAGAAAAGAGAAAGAGAAAAUCAGGGAUGGUUUGAAUCCUGGUUUUCCACUUCUCCGUGGCUUAAAACUUUAAUUUCUACUUGCUUGGACCAUUAAUUGUAAUUUUGUUGCUUUUAAUUUUUGGACCUUGUAUAUUACAUGACACAGGGUUCAUCCUGGCCCAGCAGCUGAAUUUAUGUUUGGUGCUCUCUUGUUCAAGUUCAAACAACACUCCAUGCCGAGGUACAGAAUAAAGAAAAGGAGCAAAGU